GUUUGCCCGGUGUUUGGAGGAAAUGAUGGAGAUGUCAACAUAUAAGAAAACGUCCGACAACUUACUCUGUUCAUUUUCAUUUAUUUAUACUUUUAAACCUUUCGUUUAGUUACCUAUCCGCUGUGACCGGCUUCAGCUGCAAUAGGUCACGAUAAUUGCGAGACUGUCCACGGAGCUCCUUUGUUUCUAUCAUUUCUUAGUCAACACGUUAGUUGCACGUUUCGUUUUUUUACCCAGAUAAAGCGUCAGUAGACGUAACGGGGUAAACUAACAUUCUGCAUUAGUACACCGUGUGCAUAUUCGAGAAUAUAUAUAUAUUUUGGGACACAUGUUUUUAAGAAACAUUUGAAUUUUUCCUUUCUAGUCCUGUUCUGCCCCAGUGCCUUGUCGUGUAUCUGCUCUUCAUUUUGCUGCAUCUCCACCGUGAAGAGGGAACUGAAACCGUUCAUUUUGCAAUGCCUUUAUAAAAAGGCUUCCUGGGCAUUCAUUUGUUUUGGGAAAAUCGUCUUUGGGUAAAAGGUUAGUCUUUAUCUGUUCAAAUCCUUGGGUUUGGUUAAUGUGUGUUAAUCAACACAGAAACGAAAAAGUUUUGAAGAACUGCACUAGUACGUAUCUGAGGCAAACAUCCUCUGUGAAUCGAUUUGUAUGCUUUAUGCAUAGCUUCUGUGUCAUGGAGAUUCGGUAAAUGCCGGGGAGAGGGACACGAAGAUGUGAAGCAUGUCACUGACUGGUGCAGCACUCAUGUCACCCCGCCAGUUUUGGGGGUUUGAGUCCCGUCUCCGCUGUGUGUGUGAGGAGUUUGCAUCUUCACCCUUUGCCAUGUGAGUUUCCUCCAGGUGCCCCCCAGUCCAAAGACAUGCAGUUAGUUUAUCCAGCCACUGUAAAUUGCACGUAGUGUUUGAAUCUAUGUAUGGUGUGUAUGUGUGAUAUGUGCUGUGCCAUGGACCGGAAUUUCCAUCCAGUGUGUGCCCCAUGAAGCUGGGGGCAGGCCACAUGACCCCCAUCCUGUAAGCCUGUCCAGAAUAAGCAACUGAUGGAUUAGUAGAUAGGAGGGCGGACAGACUGUUUGUUGGAUGGUUUUAAGAUGACUUCUGCCAUGAAAACUAGUAAUGAAUAGUAUGUUUUAUUUUUAAAAACGACGACAUAGAAGUUUUACCUGUCGUGUAAUGAAUGUCAUGAUUGACCGUCACGUUUUUAUUUGGAAGAUCAUCUGCAUGCAAUUUGCUUUUGAAAUGCAUAUCUUGAUUUAGGUGUUUACAUGUGCUUGUAUUUCUGUUAUUUCAUUAGUAAACAUCUUGAUGUGAAUUGUCAUUGACUUUGGAUAUUAAUUAGAAAAACCUUUCUGGGUGAACCUUUUACAGAAUAAAUGUAAUAUAUUGUCAUAUGGGAUACCUUAACAUGAAUUUAUAUGUAGGUGCAGCCAGGAUAUGUAUAGCUCAUAAUCUGUUGAUGAAUGUUACCUUCUACUUGACUUUGGUGUAUUUUAAACAUUAGCGUCGCUCAAGUAAGUCUGUUUUGAAUGAUCCAUUAUGCAUAGUAGCUCCUGAUCUCUGUGAUAUUUCUACCUUUUUGACGUCAGUUGCCAUUUGUAAUUGUUACCCAGGCAACGGCCAGCCUCCCCUAGAGAUAAGUCGAGGGGAUAAGACCACUCUGAUUUUUUUUCCCUCCCUUUUUAGGUUUAAAUCAGUUUCUAUGUAUCGGUAAUUUAAUUUCGUUUCACUUCUGUAUUACAUCUCCAAUCUGAUAUCUACUCAUUUUGUUCAGAUCAGUUUCUUGCUAGUUCCCCAUUUUAAGGUGUUGCAUCCAACACACAGUAUAGCAUCUAUAGUAUUUAUUUUUGUUCUGCUGAGUGCAGGAAUAUCGUAACGACAUCUCAGUUUACGGACAGUUGUUGCCUUUAUGUAUGGCCUCUUACUUGCCCCCAUUCCUUGUGUUUGCAAGCGGUGCUUCAGUAAUGUCAGAUUAACUUUUAUCAGAAAACGGUAGGACCAGCCAGACCAGAUAGCAGCUAUGACUUUUUUUUUAAUGCAGAUGUUCCCCUGGUUGCACAAGCUGUUGUGUAUAGCCAAAGCACCUUCACCUAUGGUGUACGCUUAAGAAGUAAGCCAACACGGCUGUACACAACACCAAGCUUCGGGGCUAUUUAUAGCCUGUGCUCUAUGCUUUUUUUUAGCAACCAAGCUAUUGAUGUGCUCCUCCCUUACAAAUGUUUUUUUUUUUUUUUUGCAUGACAAAAAUUGAUCUAAGAUUAGAUUAAUAGGAGUUGCUGAAUGCGCCUGACCAAAAUAAAGGCUGUCUGAUUCAAUUAACUUUUUUUAAAGAUUAUGGAAGAAAUUAUACAGCCUCUCCCAAGGUUAAAAUGGGGUUACGUUCCGAUAAACCUAUCGUAAGUCAAAAAUAUUGUAAAUGCAUUUUAAUGCAGUUCACCUAACCCAACAAACAACAUAGCCUAGCCGAGCCCACCUUAAACACUUAGAACACUUACAUUAGCUUACAGUUGGGCAAAAUCAUUAACACAAAGCCUAUUUUAUAAUAAAGUGUUGAAUAUCUCAUUUAUUGAAUACCGUACUGAAUGUGAAAAACAUUUACCUAUCGUAAAGUCGAAAUAUCGUAACACAGAUCAUCCUGGGGAACAUCUGUGCCCUAUAAUUGCUUCAUACCAAAAUGCUUCAAGGAUCUGCAGCACUGUAACUCUGAUAGCAGUAAAACACCGUAAGGAAGUGGGAUGUCCUUCAAUGUACAGAGAACAUGCAUUCAAAUCACAUAGCAUCAGGUGCAUCGGAGGGGCAUGGGACCCCUGACAGAUUCAGGGAGACCAACAUCUGACAGGGACCCUUGGAUACAUAAAGGUAUUACGCAGAAUUGGGAGGGGAUCCUGCUUAGCAGAUAUCUAUUUACCUUUAAUAUAGAUGUAUAAAGGGGUAGAAAAUGUGUCAUGAAUAUAUCAUAAAUGUUGCAAAUGAAAGAUUGCAUAGUUUGUAUUGUAUCACAUCCAUCCAUCCAUAUUCCAAACUGCUUAUCCUACUGGGUUGUGGGGGGUCCGGAGCCUAUCCCGGAGCCUAUCCCGGAAGCAAUGGGCACGAGGCAGGGAACAACCCAGGAUGGGGGGCCAGCUCAUCGCAGGGCACACUCACACACCACCAUGCCACCCCUAUUGUAUCACAUGUGGGUAUUAAUCUAAAACUAAAAUAUAAAUAUGCAGUAAAGUUAUAACACCAACUUUAAUAUUUAUUAUACUGUUUCCAGUAUAGGGGCGGCAUGGUGGUGGAGUGGUUAGCACUGUUGCCUCACACCUCUGGGACCCGGGUUCGAGUCUCCACCUGGGUUGUUCCCUGCCUCGUGCCCAUUGCUUCUGGGAUAGGCUCCGGACCCUCCGCGACCCAGUAGGAUAAGCAGUUUGGAAAAUGGAUGGAUGUUUCCAGUCUAACUCCACACAUACUGGUAGGAGUAGUUUCAUCCUAGUUUCAUCACAAGCAGCAUGAGGCGACAGAGCAAGAGAAUGGGCCAAAAUCUCACCUGGACACUCUGAGGCUGGCUACUGUGUACAGAAAGCAUCUCCAAGCUGUCAUUGUAAACAGCAAAGGCUUCCCCACUAUGUAUUAUAUAUAUUUUACUUACCGUUUCCAUGAGUCUAUCCACUUUUCUAUGGAUUGGAAUGUUACGUUAUUUCCCCCAAUGUAUGAACCAGAGUGAUUGUGCGGUGAUUAUGCUAUUUAAUGUUUUUAAAUACUUACAGUAUUUACAAGUGUAGCAUUACUGCUAUUAAUUUUCCAUGUGUUGCAUUUUUUUUCAUAUGCCUGAAGCAUAUUCAGUUAUAUAAUUUAAGAGGGUCAUGUUAUAAAUUGUAUUCAUGCAUUGUAUUGUCAAACAAUGUUUUCACCUCUACAUUAAUAUAUUUGAAUACAAGGACUAUUUAUGUAGUGCAUUAAUUAAACUGGAUUAUGUUGGGGAAACUAUUUAGGUUGUUCUUAUAAUAAUAAAAAAAUGAUUAAAUUACGCUGGAAAUACCAUUCUAGAACUCUCAAUAUUUUGUGACAUCAGUUCACAAGUAGGAACUUACUUCUCACAUUUGGCAUGCUCUGAUGAACAAUGUGACUGGAAAGCAGCUUGCCAUUUUCAGUAUUACGAUGGUCAAUCUGUUGCCACCUGCAUUAAGCAAGAUUUAAUCUGCCCCCCCCCCCAAUGGCAAUUCAAAAGGGACCAACAAGAGCUGGCUCUCUUUCAUCUCUUCAUCAUUGAUUACAAGUCUCACAGAGAUGAGGGAAAGACCCUCCCACUGUGCACUUUUAUUGGCUGCAUUAACAAUUCAGGAGUUCCUAAUGGGGGAAAAAGGAAUAAAUAAAUACAAAUAUUAUCACGUCCAGGUUUAAACUGUUUGAUGUGGUGCUCUAAUGUAAAUAAGUCUAUAAAAUAUUACUGUUUGUAACUUUGAAAGGCUCUGUGUUUCAAACAGGGUCGGAUUCAAGUUUAUUUCAGAGAUAGCAGUCUCUCAUUGGUAAAUGGAGUCUUGAUUUCUGUGUGUUCACACUAAAUGUGUUCAGGGAGUGUAACUUCAUGUUUUAUUAGUUUUUUUUUUCCAUUUUUACUGCUCUAGGUAUGAAAACAAAUGGGUAAUACUUUACUUGAUGGGUAAUACUUUACAAAUGGGUAAUACUUUACUUGACGGGUAAUACUUUACUUGACGGGUAAUACUUUACUUGACGGGUAAUACUUUACAAAUGGGUAAUACUUUACUUGAGGGGACACAAAUCACGUAGUAGUAAGUUCACACCUAAUGUAUUAACCAAAAACGAAGUGAUCUCAUCUUUAUUCAUCAAUCAAUGAUGUAUUUCAUACAGUUAUUUUUCAUGAUUUGUGCUUGAGUAGUAACCGAGUUAUUAAGUGUUACCAAGACAUGUAUUGUAUAUUUAAGAGAGUUGUCUCUGUAUAAUACUAUGGACUGACCUCUUUUAUUACAACCAUAAUGUAGUACCAUUUGGCUUAAUUAUACUUCAUAAUUAUACUUUAUAUGAAACAAUA